GACGAACGCUGGCGGCGUGCCUAAUACAUGCAAGUCGAGCGAGACUCUUCGGAGUCUAGCGGCGGACGGGUGAGUAACACGUGGGCAACCUGCCUGUAAGACUGGGAUAACACCGGGAAACCGGUGCUAAUACCGGAUAAUCCUUUUCCUCUCAUGAGGAAAAACUGAAAGUCGGUUUCGGCUGACACUUACGGAUGGGCCCGCGGCGCAUUAGCUAGUUGGUGAGGUAACGGCUCACCAAGGCGACGAUGCGUAGCCGACCUGAGAGGGUGAUCGGCCACACUGGGACUGAGACACGGCCCAGACUCCUACGGGAGGCAGCAGUAGGGAAUCUUCCACAAUGGACGAAAGUCUGAUGGAGCAACGCCGCGUGAGCGAUGAAGGCCUUCGGGUCGUAAAGCUCUGUUGUUAGGGAAGAACAAGUACCGGAGUAACUGCCGGUACCUUGACGGUACCUAACCAGAAAGCCACGGCUAACUACGUGCCAGCCGCCGCGGUAA
rnacentral:rRNA from 1 species